rnacentral:lncRNA from 1 species
GUACGUAUAGAUGUGUAUAUAUAGAAUACACUCUAAAGUAGUAUAUAUUUAAGGUAUACAUGUGUAUAUGUUUUAUAAAUUAGUAUAUAUAUUGUAGUAUAUAUCUUGUAGUAUAUGUUUUAUUUAAAAUAGCAUAUACAUUUAACUAACGUAUAAUCGUAUACAUGAUUACAUGUGUAAUUGUGUAUAUGUUUUUUAAAUUUUAAUGUAGUAUAUACUAUAUAUUGUGUGUAUAUCAUUUAAUGUAUUUAAAAUGUAUAUAGGUGGAUAUAUAUAGUUUAUAUUGGAGAAAAAACUUUAUUUUUUUAAAAUUUUGAUCAGUUUUGACCAAAUUUUUGAUCGAAUUUGACUGGAUUUACCCGUGUUGGGUUUAAUGGACCGAUCCCGGGUUGUUUCUUAAAAUUUUACUGUUGAGACCGGAACCGGACCAGCCCGUUUAACCAAGCCCAGAUCUGAACCGGCCCACAAACGGAAUAAAAGUGACGGUCCGAUUCCGGGUUGACCCGGCCUAACCCCGUUAAUAGGUUUAUAUCAAAUCUUGUGAUAAUCUUGUAGAUCCAUUGACUAAGUCUUUAGCAAGAGACAAUGUGUGGAGUACCUCGAGGGGGGUGGGGUUGAAGCCUAUAAAAUCUUGAAUCAUUUGUGCGAAAACCUAUAACAUCCAACAUUUUUGGGCUAGAAUUCAAAUCAUUGUUCCUAAGUAUACAGACAUGAACCCAAUGAUUGUAUGUCUAUAUAUGUGUGAUUAUCAGUUCUAUAGUGUGGUAAUAUACUUUUAUAUAAAUCGAGGUCAUAAAAAUCUCCUAACUCAAAGAAGAGUUGAGGACUCUUCUAUCGAUAGAGUUUUAACGAAUUUGAAAAAUCUUAGUAGCUUAAUUGGUUAGUUACCUGAACUUCCACCUUGUUGGUGAGGGUUCGAUUCCCCACAUUGUAAUCCCCUCUCCCAUUCCCCUUCCCCUACCCCCCAAUUUAAAAAAAAAAUAAAAUUUUAACGAAUUCUCCAACUAGGGUCCACUUUAGACGAGUGUAUCUCCUAGAAUAUAUCAAUUCAGGUGUCCCACUAUAUAUCAAAUGAAAGGUCUUCGAGUCGUCUUUCCAAUUCACCUAAUUUCACCUUAAUCCGAUAUCAGAAUGGAAAAUAUGCUCAUUUUACCUAAGCACGCUCAUCUGACAACAAAAAUGAUAACUUGAGGUGAUAAUCCGUCAACUAAGUGACGACUUAUCAACCAAGUCGUCAGCCUUAACCAGAAUGUGAUCAAUUUCAGCUACAAAGUGACGACUUGAUGUGAUAAGCCAUCAACUAGGUGACGACUUGUCAGUCAAGUCAUCACUUUAAGACACCACAAAAUCCUAAACUUGACUCAGUCCUUUAAAACCUACUAAGGGGUUCUAGACUUAGAAAAUUGUAGCUAAGUAUCAAGACUUAGAAUCAUUUUAAACUUCCAAAUUUGGAGGAUUUUAUUUUCGAUCUUCCCGGCCAUAGUUAGUCGAUUUUUAAAUUGAUUCAUGAUCAGGGUCACUUGUAGGCCAUCUCGGGCAAGUUUCAAGUUUUUUCGACAAGUGUAAGGGCGAGUUUGGAUGCUAAAAAUAGUGAGGGGUUGUGAUGGCCCGUAUCGCGGGCCCAGUCAACCUAGCUAGGGGUCACAUUGCGAUAGGUAGUUGUAAUGCCCCGAAAAUGAGUUCCGAGACGUCACACGAUGUUUAGGGUCACAAGUGACCCCAAGCUAACCAACCCUUCUACUGGCAUAACUCAUACGCAACUGAAUAAAAUACAUAAAACUGUACAAAAUCAGCGAACAAUAACUUUCUGAAUCCAUACUAUACAAAACUGAAUUUACAAGAUAACAACUCUGCUCUUAGAAACAAAACUGAAACUGAAUACAUCAGCUUCUACUGGCUGUCUAUGAAGCCUCUACUAGCAUUGACUUUAGAUAGCCAGGACAUGACCCCCAACUAUCGCAAAUCAAUACGACUGAAUAAAGAAAAUAUCAAGUUGUAGAACUGACUCGAGCCCUUGAAUCAAAAGGACUCAUCAUUUGCUGACUGGAAGCUGCAACUGUCUGAAUAUAGUAUGCGUGCUAUAACUGAACUGAUACCAACAUUAGAAGACAAUGUGUGCAUAGACGUAUAUGUGGAUCAGUACUUUGAGGAUGUACUGAAUAUAUGGAAGUGUAUGCAAUAGUUAAACAAUAUCAUCAAUCUUUAUAGAAAUCAUGCAUGUUAAAUAUAAAAUGACUCACAUAGCUUGAAUAAAAUUCUCAUAAGUUGAGGUUAGGAAAUAGAUAAUAGAAAUCACGUGAGUCGUUUCACUUUAUUCUGGAUCUCUAUUCUUACUUUGUUCUCAACUUGUAAAUUAGAUAAAAUCUUAAAGCAUCAACCUUCAGGACAUAAGCUAUAAUCUCAUGAAAGCAAGAAACUUCUUGGGAACUUAGUAAUCAUGACACUUGAAAACUUUAGAAAUCAUAGAAACCAUAGCCUUCAAAAUCAAUAUACAUUCAAACUCACACUUUUAGCUUAAGGAUAGUAACACUUCUUUAAAACUCAAGAACUUGAUACUUUAGGAACUUUAAGACUUGAGACUCUAGAAAACUUAAGAGACUUUGGGACACUUGGGACUCGGGAUUAUAUCUUUGGGAGUUUCUUCUAACCGACAUAAACCAUGUAAAUUACAGAGAGUCCAACGUUUUACCCACGUUGGGGAGAACUAUUCUAUCCUUUCCAUCGGAGUAGAACCUUUAACUUUUAGUGAUCACUAUCUUAACCCACUUGGGGUAAAUCAGAAACCUACGGGGGCACGUAGUUCUGGGCCAUGAGACCUAGGAAUCAAGCCUAACUUGGUGCUAAAUACUACUCCCUUACUUAGCUCAGAACUUUAAGAAAAUUCACCUUAAACAAUUCAACAAUAUGUAAUAGGAGUCAAUAUGCUUCCUCUUUUAUCUCAAAUCAAACAAACAAUGUGGAUUUCUUUCUUAGCUUAGGGUCAAAACUCAAUUCUUUUCUUGAAAUCUUGAUAGACUUUUCAUCAAAGUUUUAAAAUCUCAACGACAUGGAAAUAUAAGUACACUUCUUGGAGUAUCAAUAAUUCAUCCUCAAAGACUCACAACUUCACAAUAAAGUUCAACUCAUGACAACAACUCUUGGAAAUUCUUGGAAACAUGAUAUCAAUAUAGGAAUGUGCAAUUUAUAUCAAGAACUCUCAAGUUAGAUCAUACUUGAACAAAAUAAUCAUGCAAUUAGGACUUGAACAAUUCCCUAAUAUCAUAAACUUGAAAUAUAGCAAAACAAUAUGAAUUCAUUUUGGAAAUACGAAAUUCUUUAUGAAAAUCUAAAACUUUUGGGCACAAGAACAAAGAGUGUUCUUGUUCAAACCCCAUAUACCUCAAAUUAUGGACUCUUGCUUUUUGGGAUGCUAUUCAUACAAUUGAUAGGUGCUUCUUGUAGCCCUCUCAAUGGGGAAUCCGAAUCUUGAAAAAUUAUCGAAAACCUACGGAUGAAUCUUGAGAUAUUUAAAUUUUUAGGUUGAAACCCUAAUGAAUGGCCUUGGUGAUUUUGAGAGAAAAUAAACUUAUUUUGGUGUCUUAGGGAUUUAAUCCCGUGUUAAGGAUAAUAAAGGGGUGGAAAAUACCAUUUCUACCCUUAAUGAGAUUGAGGAAAAAAGCUGAAAACUAGGCAAAAAGACUAUGGCCAGGGCGGCGCCUUGCCUAGAGCCUUUGCUAAGCUAGGCGGCGCCUCCCUAUAGCCUUUAGCUACUAUUUCUGAAACCCAAACACGCCCUUAGGCUCGUCUACAAAUUUUGAAACUCACCCAAGAUGUACUCUUACCUUACCCCAUUGCAACGCAACAAAAAAAUCAAUAAACGGAGGUCGGGAAGGUCGCUAAAUAAUUCCCCGAAGUUUGAAGGUUCAAAAAUAAACUAAGUGUUGAGCACUUAGCAAAAUUUGUAAGACUUCUUUUGAUUCGUUUCGAAAGCCUUAACGAUGAGGGAACUUUACAGGGUCUUACAAUAUCUCCCCCUUAGGAACAUUCGUCCUCGAAUGUCGCUCGUAAGGCUAAGAGUACAAAGAAAACUAAGGAUUCACGGCUGAAAUAACUUGUUAAAUUGACUCUACUUCAUCUUAGACUUUCGGGUACUUCAUAGAAUGCAUGAACUCAUAAUAAGAAUAUUCAUAUAGCUGAAUCUUUGAUUAAAAAAAAGGACUGAAUUAAGGAAGGCUAUUAUCUUCGUCUGAAUCUGAGCUAACUUGCUUUACCUUAUCAUGGGGAGCUGACUCAUGCUAAGAGUUUAGAACUCUUUUAAUGAGCUCAUGGCAUGAUCGUACUUAUAGACUGCAAAGUGAUUGUUUAUGCAGGCAUAAUCAUGAGAAAAUGAGGCUAAGAUUACACAAUGGAUAUCACAUUGUUUGAACUAGAAUACUUGGAAAAUGAAGGUUGUUCAAUGAAUACUUAUGAACUAAGACAUGACUAGAUACCCGAAUCCUGAAACUGAAACUGAUGUACGAAUUGAACUGAGUUCGCAAUUUACAUGGAUGGAAUAGAUUAUAUCUUGGAAUGGUCAUAUGCAUGAGACUUGAGAUAGCAGGACUGGGUGAAAAAGGUGUAAAACCACACGAUCUUGUCUGCCUCACCGUAAAACUGAAUUGCUGGCUAUACUGACUGAAUUACACUGGAAACUUAUACAUAGUUGGAGUAUCUCUUCAACACUCCAUAACAUGGAAUAUAGACAUAUAACUCAUAAACUGGGAUAGAAUUACCAGGCUUUAGGCGAUGCAACUUCUUACCUUCAAGCUUAGCAGCAGUUCUCGAAUACUCCAUCAUCUAUACUAUUCCCCUUAAAUACAAUACUCACUUGAUUCAACUUAUAAUUCUCAUAUAGCACUAAUAUUUCCAUCUACUAAUAUCUAGACUGAAUUAAAUUCUCUCACCAUCUUUAAACCUAACUCAAAAUCAUAGGACGCACCACAUAAUACUGUAAUACUAGCCUAAACCAUAAAUUCAACACACCCUGCAUUUCACAACUUUUCAUCUCAUGCGAAAUUCUCAUUACCACUCCAACAAACACAUUUGACCUCGUACUAGACAUUUACUAACGCGCAAUACAUUCAUCCCAAUAUAUAUACAAACAAGAUGCUCAAGCCUACUUCUAUAACCACAUAUGAACUUCUAAACACACUCCCAUAAAAUACCUUUGUCACAACUUACAAACCUCUAUCAAGAACAACUUCCAUGCACUACUCCUAAGAAGACAUACAUAAGAUUUCAACUACCCAAACAUCGCAUAUAAAACUUCGACUAACCAUGACGGGUAUUAAAGACUUGGCUUCAAUCUUACUUCACACUCUACUGCCUUAACUAAAAUAAGCAUACAACUAUCUUCCAGUAACAAGAAAUGUUUAGUCUCUCCCAUCCAGACAACUGAUCAUCAUCACUAUCUUGACCGAAGAAAAGGUAAUAGAAGUUUAGAACAUGAGGGCCUGAAACAUAAAGGGAUACUGUGAACUCAACUGAGGCUUGAGGAAUAGAAUAUUUAGCAUCAUGAACUUAUCAAAGAGGUCUAACCCGAGGACAUGCAUGAUAUAAACCUGAAUUUCGCUGAUCAUUAAAAGUAUUGCUUGAAUACUUGAACUAAACAUACCGUAAAGCUUGAGUACAUGAGUCAUGAGCUACAUGACUUAAAUUUGGAGUUCAUAACUUAUGAAAUGUGAUUCCAACUGCCGAAAGAACUGGAACUCCUUAUUCUUGGGAAUUAAGGGAGUACAAAUUUCUCUAUCAUAUGCAUGAACAUGAAUUAAGAUCAUGAAACUGAACUUAAGGCAUGAGCAGAUAUUGGGACAACUGAAAUGAUAUUGGGUCGGGCAUUAUGAUUCCUUACAGCUGUUCUACAACUUAUUGGUACAUCUACUAGAAUCUAAAAGCUUGACUUGGUUACUUGUGCUAUCAUCUCCCCCUUAAACUUCAGCCAUCAUUCUAAGGCUGUGAACCACUAUGUAAACUCUAGUCUGGUUGCAAUCACUUUACUCUAGAGUCUGGAAUAUAACAAUGCACGUGAAUGAUAGAACUUAACCCAAAUGACUACACCUGAAAGGGUAAGACCAACUUCUAAUACAACCUUCUGAGCUACACCCUCUCUUUCUAUAGCCCCAAAAGUCAUUAUAUAAUAUUUGAACACUUCCUAGCUUUGAAUCCACAUAAGCAUCCCUAUAGUCGGAGUGCACACCAUUUAGUGCUUUAACUCUUAUUUCUAUUAUCUCAAUCUCCCAACUUUCAAAAUUAGAUUCUAACGCUUAAUAUGGGUAUCUCCAAACUUUUGAUGGACCAUACUACUUCUAUCAUAGCCUACCAAUAUCACACUUAUAAGCUUAUAUUUCUAAACCAUGAGAAUCAAAAUCAUACUUAACAGGCUCAACACCGUCAAUCAUAACUCCUUAACUUAGUUAUCAAGAACAUCGUACAUUAUCUAAUGAGUCUUUCUCCACCUAGAAACUCAACAGUACUACUAACCACACAACAUGCAAUGAUCCUCGAAAAUAAUGCAGCCCUAUAGCACCUUGGGCGUCCUUCUACAUCAUGUUUACAACAUCAGACAUGAUUACGAAUCAAAUAAACUUAAGCUCUUUCACACACUGUUCAAGCCUACUAGAUCAUUCAUGUACGUCUAACAUCCACAACACAUCAAUCAUUAUAUCCACCUUGCUCAUCAUCUAUGAUUCGAACUUGUCAACUAUUCAUACCUGUCAAACAUCCAAAGAUUCUAGUCUGUUAAAAUCUCAUAACAUUAAGGAUCAAUCACAACCCUAUGAUCUAUCUUAUUUAAAAUCCAUUAACACACUCUCCUUCUACACAUCAUUACUAUCUACCAAGUAUUUUCAUCAAUAACUUAUACCUUUCUAGCACAACAAACAUUAUCAACAACUCUCUUCACACUUCAAGCAAACAUCAAUUCACCUUAACUAAUAACUCCUUCUCUAUCUUCUACUAAACUAACACAUAAGGACAUAUCACUUCUCAAAUGCCCUGUAGCCUCUCGAAGAAAAGUACAGACGUCUCCAUAGCGUUCCACAAGACUCUACUAGAGACGACUCACCCUAGGACUCUUGAACUCUAUGCUUUGAUACCAAAUUUGUAAUGCCCCGAAAUGAGUCCCGAGACGUCACACAGUGCUUAAGGUCACAAGUGACCCCAAGCUAACACUUUAAUUGGCAUAACUCAUAUGCAACUAAAUAAAAUACAUAAAUCUAUACAAAAUCAGCGAAAAAUAACUCUUCUGAAUCUAUACUAUACAAAACUGAAUUUACAAAAUUACAACUCUGCUCUUAGAAACAAAACUGAAACUGAAUACAUCAACUUCUACCGACUGUCUAUGAAGCCUCUACUAGCAUUGACUUUAGAUAGCCGAGACAUGACCCCCAACAAUCCCAAAUCAAUACGACUGAAUAAAGAAAAUAUCAAACUGUAAAACUGACACGAGCCCUUGAAUCAAAAGGACUCAUCACUUGCUGACUGGAAGCUGUAACUGUCUGAAUAUAGUAUGCGUGCUACAACUGAACUGAUACCGACAUUAUGAGAUAAUAUAGCACAUAGAUGUAUAUGUGGAUUAGUACUUUGAGGAUGUACUGAGUAUAUGGGGGUGUAUGCAAUAGUUAAACAAUAUCAUCAAUCUUUAUAGAAAUCAUGCAUGCUAAAUGUAAAUGACUCACAUAGCUUGAAUAAAAUUCUCAUAAGUUGUGGUUAGGAAAUAGAUAAUAGAAAUCACAUGAGUCAUUUUACUUUAUUCUGGAUCUGUAUUCUUUCUUUGUUCUCAACUUGUAAAUUAGAACCUUUAACUUUUAGUGAUCACUAUCUUAACCCACUUGGGGAAAAUCAGAAACCUACGGGGGCAUGUAGUUCUGGGCCAUGAGACCUCGAAAUCAAGCCCAACUCGGUGCUAAAUACUACUCCCUUACUUAGCUCAGAAAUUUAAGAAAAUCCACAUUAAACAAUUCAACAAUAUGUAAUGGGAGCCAAUAUGUUUCCUCUUUAUCUCAAAUCAAACAAAUAAAACAAAUAAUGUGGAUUUCUUUCUUAGCUUAGGAUCAAAACUCAAUUCUUUUCUUGAAAUUUUGAUAGAUUUUUCAUCGGAGUUUUAAAAUCUCAACAACAUGAAAUAUAAGUACAUUUCUUAAAGUAUCAAUAAUUCAUCCUCAAAGACUCACAACUUCACAAUAAAGUUCAACUGAUGACAACAACUCUUGGAAAUUCUUGGAAACAUGAUAUCAAUAUAGAAAUAUGCAAUUUAUAUCAUGAACUCUCAAUUUAGAUCAUAAUUGAACAAAAUAAUCAUGCAAUUCAAGACUUGAACAAUUCCCUAAUCUCAUAAACUUGAAAUAUAGCAAAAUAAUAUGAAUUCAUCUUGAAAAUCUGAAAUUCUUUAAGAAAAUCUAAAACUUUUGAGCAUNNNNNNNNNNNAAAGAGUGUUCUUGUUCAAACCCCACAUUCCUACAAUUAUGGAUCUUGCUUUUUGGGAUGUUAUUCGUACAAUUGAUAGGUGUUUCUUGUAGCCCUCGCAAUGGAGAAUCCGAAUCUUGAAAAAUUAUUGAAACCCUACGAUUGAAUCUUGAGAUAUUUGGAUUUUUAGGUUGAAACCCUAAUGAAUAUCCUUGGUGAUUUUGAGAGAAAAUAAACUUAUUUUGGUGUCUUAGGGAUUUAAUCCCGUGUUAAGGAUGAUAAGGGAGGGGAAAAUACCAUUUCUACCCUCAAUGAGACAGAGGAAAAAAGUUGAAAACUAGGCAAAAAGGCUGGCCAGGGCGGCGCCUUGGGCAGCGCCUAGCCCAGAGCCUUUGCUAAACUGGGCGGUGCCUCCCUAUAACCUUUAGCUACUGUUUUUGAACCCAAAGACGCCCUUAGGCUCGUUUAUAAAUUUUGAAACAUACCCAAGAUGUACUCUUACCUUGCCCCAUCGAAACGCAACAAAAAAAUAAUAAAUGGAGGUCGGGAAGGUCACUAAAUAAUUCCCCGAAGUUUGAAGGUUCACUAAUAAACUAAGUGUUGAGCACUUAGCAAAAUUUCUAAGUGUAAGAUUUCUUUUGAUUCGUUUCGAAAGCCUUAACGACGAGGGAACUUUACGGGGUCUUACAAUAUCUCCCCCUCGGGAACAUUCAUCCUCGAAUGUCGCUCGUAAGGCUAAGAGUACAGAUAAAUCCAUAUGUUUACCAAAAAUGCCUAAGUGAAAUAAUUGUGCAAUUUGAUCCAUUAUUGAUCUUAAUUAUGAAAUCAUGAAAGAACUACAUGUCUAAAGGACUCCCAUGUUAAAGUUAUGCCUUGAAGGUGUUUGUUGAAAUGCCUAUGUGAAUCAUUAGUGUACUUAUGACAUGAUAGCAUGUAUCCCUAUAUAUGUACAAGUUCAAGAUUUACAAGUGUUUGAUGAAAUGCCUUAGAAAGUGAAUUAUGAACAUGUGGCCAUUGUCGUGCCUUUAAGAUUUAUGUUACGCUUUACUCUUUACGUUAUCAAGUCUUGGAUGACGACCUUGAUGAGCAUAUGCAACCAGUCUUAGACUCUACCCCUCAGCCCAGAAUUGAUCUCAGCGGAACUCCAAAACAUGGGCCAGAGCCUCCCCUUCUUUCUUCCUAAAAUGCCUGAGCUCCUGAGAGAGGGCCCAAUUUUUAUCAAAUCCUAUGGGGAGCUCCCACAAAUUCCACUUCUCACAAACGAAAUAGACAUUCCACAUCAUCGACUUUCGAUGGAAAUAAUGGAAAGAGCGAAAACCAUGGAGGCUCUAAGGCAAACAACAGGGAAAUAGAGAAACUCCUGGCAUUAUUAAAGGUCCCAGAGCAAAGGUCAUACUUCUAGGAAGGCCUAUCUCUCAAACAUUCGAGGAACUUAUCAGCGUGUUUCUAAUUGUCCUACUUACCCCAGAACUAAACCAGUUCGAUCUAUAAGUCAACCUCCCAAAGUCAAACAUCUUCUACUUCAGCCAAGAUGACCCCGAUAUCCAAGAAAAGAAAAGAACCAACGUCAACCUUUCUCCCUCGCUUAAUGGACAAGGGGAAAAGAAUACUAGAUCCAGCCCAUCAUAAGCCCCCCCCCCCCCCAUCCUCCUCUAUGAUGACUUCAAUAAUAUCAAAUGUUAGAGGAGCAAAGAAUGCUGAGUUCAGAAGGCAUUGUCAAUCAAUGGUUAACAUUCACAAGCCUUUUCUGCCUACCCUCCUAAUAAAGACAUUGCUGAAACUUUGGGUUUAAAUAGCCAAAUUCAAUUCCCUACUACGGGUAGCGUAUGAGGUAUUGUUAUCAUGUGGGAUAAUUCUACUUUGGGUAUUCAAAACAUUGUUAUUUUCCCUCAGGGCAUUCAUGUGGCUGUAAAGGUAAUUAGCCCUUCUUCCUCUUGGUACUUUAGUGUUAUAUAUGCUAGUAAUAGUUUUGAAGUUAGGAAAAGUCUUUGGGCUUAACCUCAUCGAGUUUGCUAACUCUAUUGCUGGUGAGUCUCCUAAUACCUAGAUUAUUGGAGGGGACUCUAGUGAAGUCCUUAAAGCUCAGAGAAGAUUGGUGGCAAUAAUAUCAAUAUAACUAGAGCGACUGCCUUCUCAGAUUGCAUCAAUAAUUAUAGCCUUGUGGAUUAGGUUUCAAAGGCAGCAAGUAUACUUUGUCUAAAAAAAUAUUUAGGAAUAGAAGGGGACUCAUUCUUGAAAGGCUAGAUAGAUGUCUAGCCAAUGAGGCUUGGAUUCACCUCUUUCCUAAAGCCUCUGUCUCCCAUCUUCCCAGAACCGAUUACGAUCAUUGUCCCCUUCGCUUGAAGCUGGACAAUACCCCCAACACCUAGGAUAACCCCUUUAGGGUUAAGUCCAUAUAGUGCUCUCACCCAAGCUUUAUUCACAUUAUCCAGAAUUCUUUUUCCCCUGAGGUUCCUCUGACCGAGGCCAUAACCAUCUUUGAAUCCCAGGUUUUCACCUAGAAUAGAGAAACCUUUACUAACAUCUUUAAGGAAAGAACAAGAACCUUGCUAGAUUAGAUAGCAUCCAAAAAUCUCCCUAUUAUCACUCCAGCCUCUUUCUCCAGGACCUUGAAAGAACCCUCACUAAGGAAUUUAGUAUCAUUCUCGGACUAGAAUAAGUGUUCUGGAAACUUAAAUCCAGAAUCAAUUGGAUUGCUGAGGGUGACUCUAAUACUAGAUUCUUCCAUAUCUUUACUCUAAUAGAAGAAGAAGAAAUUGGAUUAAUGUCAACAAAAAAGAUAGUGGUAAUUGGAUCUACUCUACAGAGGCAAUCUACAACCACAUCCUAUCCUUCAACAACAAUCUCUUCGGGAUUGACCACCUUUCAUAUCCUCUGUCAGUUGAACCCCUCCUCUUUAGAGGGUCCAUCAAAUCAGAGGAUCAUGAUUCUCUUAACAACAUCCCUUCCCCUAAAGAAAUUAAAAGAACCAUCUUCUCUUUCAAUCCUUACAAAGCUCCUGGCCCUGAUGCCAUCCAACCCUCCUUUUACCAGAGAUACUUGUACAUCUUGAGUCAUUCUGUUAUCAACACCUUCACUUCUGGUAAAAUGAAGUAUAAGGUCAAUUCUACCUAUCUUUGUCUCAUCCCCAAAUGUCCUAAUGCUAGCAAUAUUAGGAAUUACAGACCCAUUGGGCUCUGUAACACUCAAUAUAAGCUUAUCACUAAAAUCCUAGCUUUCGGGAUAAAACCUCAUUUUGCUAAGAUCAUCAGCCACACUCAAGAAAGCUUUCUCCCCAACAGGAGGACCUCAGACAAUGCAAUCAUUGUUCAAGAGGCCAUAUCCCACUUCCAGAAAAUGAAAGGCAAGUAGACAUAUGGUUUUGAAAAUAAACCUCAAAAAAGCCUUUGAUGGACUAAAGUGGUAUUCAUUAGACAAGCUCUCCAUUUCCUCAACAUCCCAACCAAACUCAGCUCCCUCAUAAAGUCAUACAUCUCUUCUUCCGGUGUAUUUGUUUUAAUUAAUGGGAGAAAAUCCGACUUCUUCUACCCCUCUAAAGGGAUCUGACAAGAUGACCCUCUUUUUUCCCUACAUCUUUUUCAUGUGCAUGAAACUACUCUCUAUGAGAAUAAACCAUGAGGUAGAUAUCCUUAAUUGGAACCCUAUAUCCAUUUGCAAUAAUGGCCCCAAACUUUCCCAUCUUUUUUUUGUUGAUGACCUUACCCUCUUCUCUAAGGUCUCUAUAGGAAGUUGUACCACCAUUUCCAAAGUUGUUGAGUCUUUUAGCCUUCAUUCUGGGCAAAAAAUCAACCUUUCCAAAGCCAAGGCAUCUUCUCAAAGAAUUGCUCCCCUCAAGACAAAACCUCUAUGGUAAACAUCCUCUCUAUCCAAGUUAAGGAUAACUUUGGGAAGUACAUUGGUUUCCUUAUUCUUCACUCUGCCCCUUGCUAAAAGGACUUCCAGUUCAUCAUUAAUAACAUUAACACUAGACUAGCUGGUUGGAAAACCAAGUUCCUGAACCUUUUUGGGAGGGUUACCCUUGCAAAAGCCUCUCUUAGUAGUAUUCCUAUCCAUGUUAUGUAGUACCACUUCAUCCUUAGCAGAAUUAUCUCUCUUAUUGAUAAGAGCCCAAAGGAAUUUUAUUUGGGUUCCACCUUGGAGAAAAGAAGAAUGCACAUGGUGAGCUGGGACGUCAUCACCCUCCCCAAAAACCAAGGUAGACUUGGUCUUCAAAAAGCUAGGCAUAAGAAUGACACCAUGCUUACAAGCCUAACCUGGAGACUUACCCAGAACCCCAACCGUCUUUGGGCACAGAUUCUAAGGAAUAAAUAUGGGUCUCCGAAGUCUAAGUGUAACCCUUCCUUCUCCAAGACUUGGAAAAAUAUCUCCCGAGGUUGGAAGCAUUGUCUGAAUGGUGCCCAAUGGAUUGUCCAUAAUGGGAAUCAUAUCAACUUUUGGUAUGGCAGGUGGAUCCCCAACAUGGAACCCCUUAUAUACCUUAUUCAGGGCCCCCUUAGCCUCCUUCAAUCCUAAAUCAAGGUCUCAGAAGUCUGGAAUGAAGGUAACUAGUUUUUCUCUGACCUCUCCCUCCAAUGGUAUUUUCUCUAGUAGUAGCGCAUAUUCCCUCCAAGGCCCUAUCUUUUUGGUUUGAUAAUGAAUAGAGUUCAGAAUCAUUUUCUUUUUUGUAAUGAAUUAAUUGGUCUUUUUCAUAUGAAUUCCAUUUGUUUAAGUUUCUAUUUUUAUUUUGAGCCAUACAACUUUGAUUAACCCCAGUUCUCCAUUUUUUUGGCAUUAAUCUAGACCAUCUAAUCUUAGAUAAAUCGUAUUGAUAAUGCCGUCUUAACCAGUUUUUCCAUUGAUUGAUUCUAUAACUCUGAGGUUUUUUAUGUUUUAAUUCAGAAUGAAAUAUUCCUAGUGUUCUAAAAUAGUCCUUUAUUUUAGUCUUAAGGAAAAAAGACGUUCUGUUAUAUUGAAGAACAGAUUUAAAUUUAGACAAAUUAAUAACUUGGGUUUGUGAUAAUUUGUAAAAUACAUAUGCUUGUGACAAGUAGGAUAAAUCAAAAAAACUAUGUGAAUUUUUCUUACUAAUAUUAUAAAUAUUAUAAAGUGACUUUUUUAUAGUCGAAAUAAAGAUAAAGUUAAUUUUGUUUUUAUUAUUAAUUUUUUCUUGAUUUAUUUCAUUAUUGGAAAUGUAUUUCUCAAUCAAUUUCUUUGUUGAUUUAAGACGGAGUUGUGUAUUAAUUCUUGUAAUAUUAAUGAUAGAUAAAAAUAGAUCGAUGUAUAAUCUUUGAAUGAAUAAUUUUCUAAAAUAAUGGAAUUGACAUAUUAAUCGAGUAUUUCUUUUUUUUAAUAUUUGGAAAAUAUUUUUUGGCGAUUUAGGACUAAUGUCUAUUUCUGGAGUUACUUUCUUUUUCUCUUUUGUAAUUCUUUCUAUUUGAUUUUUUAUUGUACUUGUUCUAUCAGUCAAAUCCUUCAUUUUGGUUUCUAUCAGUGAAGAAUUUGGCUCUGGAAAACAAACUGCCCCAAGGAUUAAGUCCUUCCUUUGGUAGCCCAACAUAAUAGAUUUCCUACUAAGCUACCCUCUCCAACAUGGGCCUCCCCAUCAGCCCUAACUGUGACUUUUGCAACCACUCCUUAGAAGAUAUCCCCCACCUCUUCUUUGAUUGCCCUGCCACCCAAGAGAUCUAGCAUAACCUUUCUUUAAAGGUCGCAAUGAGCCAAGAAUUACCCUCCCUAAUCUUCACCCUACCAAAUGGUCCCUUUGGACUAAACUAAGACAUAAAAAAUUCAACCACCUCCUUGAUUGACAUGAUAUUAUCCCCUUCUGCCUCUGGACUAUCUGGAGAAACCAAUUAUUUUGAGAACAAGAAGGCAAAACCCUUUUUUAUCCAAAGUUACUCAAAAGCAAUCGAAUAUAACCUUCUAGUUGUAAAUCCUUCAUCCACAACCAGAUUCACGGAUAUCAAUAUCCAUUGGAACCCUCCUCCCAAGGUUACUUUAAACUUAACAUCAAUGACUCGUGUCUUGGAAAUUCGGGUAGGGGAGGGAUAGAAGGUUUGACCCGUAAUGCAAUAGGAGGUUGGGUUCUUGGCUUCACCAAGAGCUUUAGCCAUACCACUAACAACUACAUGGAGUUUGCUCUCAGGGAAGGACUUAAAAUUGUUGAAUCCCACUAGUCUUCACCCUUGGAGAUCAACAUUGAUUCCAUGGAUUUAAUUUCAAUGCUAAAUCAUGGAAACUUACAUUAUAAUGAGUUUCCAUUAUAAUGCUAUCAUUGAUGAAUGCAGGUCUAGCCUAAGAAGAUUAGGAAGCCCAGCGAUGGUGCAUUGCUUUAGAGAGCAAAAUGGCGUGGCUAAUGCCUUAGUGAAUAAGGGGGUUGAAUCUGAAGCGGAGCUGGGAAUCGCUCUUUUUGAAAUUUCGUCAAUGUGUGCGCAACAAUCUCUAUAGGCAGACAUUGUGGGAACUCUUUUUGUUAGACAAAUUAAGCAUCCUCCAGACAGUUUUGUGACAGUUUUGUGACUGACAUCACAAGACUUUUGUACUUAAUCCUGACUCAUCUAGUCAGAACUAUGUUACUCCUUUUGUUUUUUUAUUUAAUAUUAACGCAAGCCUAUUAACCAAAAAAAAAAGAUGGACUAGUUGAGUAAUCCAACAUUGCGAUGAUCAUUACAGAGAGCAAAUUUCUAAAAAAUAGGAAUACAUUAUACUUUUAAGCUAAUCUUGAGUGAAGACUUAUAAGAAUGAGUUCAGAAUCAAUUGUUUAGACCACUUUUAUGUUAUAACCUAAAGAAGAAAAUCUGUGUAAGUCUAGGCUUCUAAGCGAACUAUACCUUAAGGACCAGUUUGGUAGGCCGCACUAAUUAGAAUAAUCCAUGGAUUAAAAUUGUCUCUCCAAUACAUCGUUUGGUUACUUUUCAACUUAAUACAUGAAUUACUUAUACACCAUAUGAUGUCUUAUUUUAUCCCUAGUAAAUGGAAAGGAUAACUUAUCCAAGAUUUAACAAUCCAUGGAUAAGACCUCCAAAUGACUAAAUUAUCCCUCAAUUUUUUUUUUAAAUUUCUUUUGUAAUUUGACAUCCUCAUUAACUAUAUUGGGUUGGUUAUAAAUGUUCUUUUUAAUUCUCGGACUCUAGUUCAUUGUAAUUUGACUAUUUCAUAAAUUAUGUUUGACUUUUUUCUUCAUAUUUCAUUUUCUUUACUGGGUUGAGAAACAGUUCAUGGAUUGGUCAUUUUAAUAAGCUUUAGGUAUUUAAACAUUUAUGUAGCCUUAAAUCUAUGGUAAAUUUAAGGCAGGUUUGACCAAUAAAAGAAUAUUGAAAGUACACAGUGUUAUCAAGGAUUUUCAUAGUGGCAAUCACACCAGAAAAUUAGUAAUAAAUUUUUAUUCAUAUUUUAGUUUUUAACUUGACUAAUUUAAUGAAAUAGAAAAUCCCAUAAAAAUUCAAGGGUAUAAUUGUAAAUGAGAUUUUUGUAGAGUUUUAAAUCAAACAUAAUACAUGAUAUAUCUAGUUUUUAAUAUAAUGAACCAAACACUUGAUAAAAAAUAAUUCAAGUACUAUAAUCCCUGUAUUAUUUCCUGCAUUAGCUGUCUUCGUACCAAACGACCUCUAAAAUCGGUACCUUUAUAAAAGUUUAGCUCAAACAUAGUUGAAAUUUGACCUCUUUGAAAUUAUUGAACACUACGUAAACCCCUUCUCUAGCUGAGGCCUUCCUUAAUGGGUUCUAAUUCUAAGAAGGGUACAAGUGAACAAGAGGGUAAAUUAGGUAGUAAAAUGAUACUUUAAUUAGUUGUUUUAAGAGAAUUAAAGAGUAAGGGAACUUGUUUGUCAAUAAUUUCUUAUUCACAUCUAAAUAUAAUCGGAGAAUAACAAAAGAAAGAUUUCAAGGCUUUGAGAAUAUCACUUUGAUACUUUUCCUCAUCACCUUUAUCUUCAAAUCAAGGUGUAUUACAUUACUACUUAAUAUAAGUGACAAUCUUGAGUUUUUCGUCGUUCUCACAGGAACAAUUUUAGAAUAUCACUGUGUCCUUUGUAAAUGAUAUUGAUAAACUAGAAAAUUUAAAGUUGUGAAAACUCUCUAGAAAUGCUCACAGCGCAUGUUAGCUAACGUACGCUGAGCUUGAAAGCCACGGCUAGAGGGAGAGGCCGAGGAUGGGGGCGAGGUUGAGGAAGGCCCCCAAGACAACUAUUGCUUCUUUUGGUAGCUCUGUAGCUACUAGACAACAAAUCCCACUUAAAUCUGACUUGAUUACACCCCCACUAGGGAUUAAGGUUAAGGAGCAACACCUGGUAGGCGAUGGGAGUCCCACCACUGCAGUAGCUAAGAAACUCUAAUUAAGUGACACUCCACCUACUGAUAGUAAAGUUGAUGAAUCUGGUGGUUCCAGGAGUUUGUAAUAUGCCAAUCCCAAUGGAACAGUGAAUUGAGCUAUUGUACACCAAACCAAUGAAAUAAUAAUACCAGAUCUGAAAGAGAAGGAAUGCAAGAGAAAAGAUAGGGGGAAGGGAAGAAUAGAUCAGCAGCCAAGGAUAUGUCUCUGAACUAUAUAGCCCCAGUAAUUGUGAAUGGACAAUGUAUAACUGAACUAGAUAAGGCUGAGGUAGCUAAGGAAUCUCAUAACUGGAAGUGUGCACUAAUUGAAUAUGUAAUUGGGGCAAACCCUGGGUAUAAUGGUUAUAAUGUGAUGAUGCAAUAUAUCAAUCAAAAUUGGAAGGAAGUUGCUCAACCGGAGUUAUAUAUGCAUGAUGAAGGUUAUUUCAUUACUAGAUUUAACUCACAGACUGACCUACACAGUUUUAUGCUCAGGUUCAUACACUAUCAAUAAUCUUCCUCUCAUACUCAAGUUGUGGUCAGCCCAAUUUGAUUUUAAUGAAGAAUACCCUACUAAGAUCCCGCUAUGGGUGAAAUUUCCUAAACUACCAAUGAAUUAUUGGAGUUACGAUUCAUUGAGUAGGAUUGCUAACUCAAUAGGCACUUCUAUGUAUGCUGAUGAGUGCACCACCAAGCAGACUCGCAUAUCCUAUGCUUGAAUUCUAGUUGAGGUCAACAUUACUCAGCUAUUACCUGAUUCAGUCAUAGUGAGAGCCCCUGAUAGUCAUGUUUUUCAGCAGGUAGUCAUGUACGAUUGGAAGCCUGUGUUCUGCCAAAAAGGUCAGAUUAUUGGUCAUACAUGUCACAGAUAACCCCCACCAAUGCCCAGAUAAAAGAAAGAAAUACCCAAAAGAGUGAUCCAAACCUGGCAAUACAAUGUCUUAAUCGUGGAUCAAGACAAGAGGCCUAGAAUUUAGAGAAAAAUGAGCCAUAGACACUAGAGCAAGCCACUGUUAAGGGAGAAAAAUCAAUUAUAACACUGGAGCCUACAACCACCACAUCUUCACAGUCUACACAACUAGUAAAGUCCACACAACUAGUAAAGUCCAAUGAGACUAGCUUUCAACCAGUAACUAUUAAGAAAAGAGGUGUUGUUCCUAUUGAUAUUAUCUUGGAUAUGGGUAUGUCUUCUAUCUCCUUCGGGAACAGGUUUGCUAGUAUUUAGAGUGACAUAGGUGAGGCGAGUUUGGCCCUUCUUGAUAGAGGGAAAAUACAUAAUACCAUAUGAAACGGCUGUUUUGGAAUAUCAGGGGUAUGAAUAAAAGGUAUAAGCAAAAAGAAGUUAAAAAUUUGCUUAAGAAUAAAAAAGUUGAUUUAGUAGGAAUAGUAGAAACUAGAGUCAAGGCUCACAAAGCCACUCAAAUAAGUGCCCACAUUGCUUCUGUUUGGGGGAAAUUACACAAUUACAACUCUACUGAAAAUGGUAGAAUUUGGAUACUAUGGGAUACUCGACACUACUAUGUCUCUCUUUUGAAAGAAGAGAUGCAAUUAAUACAAUGUCAGGUCAGGAGCUUAGCUGAUGGGGAAGUCUGUUUAAUUACGGUAGUAUAUGGAUACAAUACUGCAUCUUUGAGACUGAUGCUAUGGGACCAAUUAUGAGAGAUAUCACAAGGUAACCAACAACCAAGGAUUAUCAGUGGUAACUUCGAAGCUCUAUUGUACCCUCGGGAUAGAUUUGCAGGGAAUCCAGUACAAUAUAGUGACUCGAAGGAUUUUACUAACACAUUCAUAGUUGUGCACUUUAUGAGAUAUCAUGGAAAGGAGACUAUUAUACUUGGUCAACAGAAAACUUGGAAAAGAUAGAAUCUGAGCAGAAUAGAUAGAACUUUGGGCAACAGUGUUUGGAUGCAACAAUGUGGGUCAUGUGAAGGUUGAAUAUGAGGUCCCUUAUGUCUCAGACCACUCUCCAGUGUUUAUUAAUCUUACAGGUAAUAACUGAACAUCAAAGUGUCACUUAAGUUUUUUAAUGUGUGGACAGAGCACAAAGAUUUCCUGCAAAAUAUUAUUGAACAUAACUGGCAAGGUAUAAAGAACCUCGACCCUGGAAAGAACUUAUGGAUGAAACUCAAAGCUCUAUAGACUAAUUUGAAAGCCGUCAAUAACCUAGAAUUUAAAGUCAUAGCUCAGAGGAUAGAAAAAUCUAGGACUGAUCUUCAUAUUAUACAGGAGAAUAUGUUGCAAUGUCAAUCAGAUACCCUGCAAGCUUACGAGAAAAUAACUCUUCAAACUCUUGAAAAAUGGUUUGAGGUAGAGGAAAGUAUUAUGAAGUAGAAUCCAAAGCACAAUGGAUUAAACCUGGAGACUUCAAUACAAAAUAUUUCUCAGCAGUUGUCAAAGACAGAACCCAGAGGAAGAAUAUUACUGAACUCACCAGCUUGGUUGGUGACUUACUAACUGGCCCUAAAGCUAUUAAAGAGGAAAUUAUCUCUUUAUAUAAGGGUCUAAUGGGUUCUACAGCUCUUUCCGUACCUCAGUUGAUAUCUCAAAUAUGCAGAAAGGUCCUAGACUGUAGCAGAAUCAAAAAAUACUACUGUGACUGAAGAAAAAAUUCUUAAAAGCCUAAAAACUAUGAAAGAUGAUAAAACCUGGAUUGGAUGGAUAAAAUGUUGUGUUCUUUAAUAAAACUUGGCAUUUUUUUAAGCACGAGGUCAUUUUCACUGUGAAGCAUUUCUUUGAUACUGAAAAACUUUUCAAGCCUCUUAAUUGUGCAAUAGUAACCCUGGUUUCAAAAAUCCAAGCUCCUACCACAGUUAAAGACUAUAGACCUAUUACAUUUUGCUCUAUUGUGUGUAAGUUGAUUUUUAAGAUAUAAUAAGUAGACUCCAGAAUGUCAUGCAACCCGUAUUAAUGAGGCUCAAUCUAGUUUUAUCCCUGGUAGAAGAAUAGGGGAUAGUAUUAUCAUGGCACAUGAACUUAUCAAAGGCUACAUCAGAAAGAACAUCUCCCCCAGAUGCGUGAUCUCCAAAAGGCAUAUGAUUCUGUUGAAUGGAUAUAUUUGCAUCAUAUUUUAGUGGUUCUGGGAUUUCCUGAUAAAUUUAUCACUUGGCUCAUGUGUACAAACUGUUUCUUAUAGUAUUAUGAUCAAUGGUGAACCUAGUGAACCUUUUCCAGCAGCUAAGGGAUUAAGACAAGGUGACCCCAUAUCACACUUCCUUAUUUGCUUUAGCAAUGGAAUACCUGAGCAAGACAUUAUCAUAGUUGAAGAUGGAUAAAGGCUUUCACUAUCAUCCUAGAUGUGCCAAGCUAGGUGUCGCGCCCUAUUUCGAACCGGUGGAGAUAGUCCACAACAUAGUUGUGGUCACUGUGACUCUUUGGUUUUGAAAAUCAUUUUUAUGUAAAAAAAAUCUAUUUUUGAUCUUUCAAAAAUAUUUGAGAUUCUAAGUAAAGGUUUCGGUUACUCGAGGGUAAGGUGUUAAGCACCCCUAAGGGCCUAUCCGAAGAUAGUCCUUAACUCAGUUUAGGAAGACAUUUGGAAAAAUAUUUACUUUUAUUAUUUACAAUAAUAGUGGUAACUACACAUAAUGUUUAUCAAAUUCUAAAGAAACACACAAGGUACAUAAACAUAUCCUUCCGAUAUACGAAAAAGUGACGUAAUUUAUUGUCAAAAUAUGCAUGCAAUGUUUCAAAAAAAUAUGAAAAUGCACAUCUAUAAACCCAUGUAUUCAAUACCAUACGAUUUUUCAGAAACAUAAAUUCUAAACAGAACCAAAGAUUCGUAGAAAUCAAAAGAAAAACGAAAGAAAAGGAGAUGAGAGUUGAAUUAGAAAGGGAAUCCGCACCUUUUCUGGGGCAGCAAUUGAGGCUUUCCGUCAAGAUUCCGGCCACCAAACUCUACACCGGAAACUCGAUUUUAACAUGAAAUUAAGAAGAAAGACCAAGAAUUAUUGUGAUCUCCUACAUAUUUCCAAAAUACCCAAGGCUGAGUUUUGAACGUUCUCCUCCUUUCUCGACCGAUCUGAAACUUUUAUAUCUUUUAAAACUCGUUUCUCCCCUUUGCCUCGAAUCUGACAAAACCUCCAUUUUUGGACCUCUACAAACACUCCCUCUUUUAGUGAUGGAAUUGAAGGUAUUUAUAGUUAAAUUAGAACUUCAAAAUUUGGAUUUGACACUUAAAUCUAUAGAAGCCAACGGAUAGAAAAAAGAUGGGGGGAUUCAAAUUCAAAAACAGGAAAGAGACAUCACAUAACCUAAAAUUUUGGACGAUCCUUGGACCUUUAGUGUGGAUUUGAAAUUGAUUUUCAAUUCUUGUACCGAUUUGGAACUGUUUUUCUAAUGUCCGUUGGUUUCACGGGUCGGAGGAGAUAAAAUUGAGGGAAAUCUUGACAAGUGAGGGCAGACGAUGGUCAGUUAUGGUGGUGGAUAGGGUUUCAUUUUCGGGGUUGUUGAGGAGAAGAAGAAGAACAAACAAGGGAGGGGUCAGUAGUCUUGCUGUGCAUUUUUGAAGAAUGGAUGGAGACUAGUCGAUGCUUCUCUGAUAAACAAGCAAAGACGCGUCUGUGCUGUACUUAUUGAAGACCAA